rnacentral:rRNA from 1 species
UACGUAGGUGACAAGCGUUGUCCGGAUUUACUGGGCGUAAAGAGCGCGCAGGCGGUCGUUCAAGUCGAGUGUGAAAGCCCCCGGCUCAACUGGGGAGGGUCAUUCGAUACUGAUCGACUCGAAGGCAGGAGAGGGUAGUGGAAUUCCCGGUGUAGAGGUGAAAUUCGUAGAUAUCGGGAGGAACACCAGUGGCGAAGGCGGCGACCUGGGCCAAUAUUGACGCUGAGGUGCGAAAGCGUGGGGAGCAAACAGG